UCCGGAGCCUGUGCUCCGCAACGGGAGAGGCCACAACAGUGAGAGGCCCGCGUACUUCAAAAAAAAAAAAGAAAAGAAAAAAAAACAAAAAAACAUGUUCCAAGUUAAAGCAAUCAUAUGAUGCUUAUAGAUUGUUCAAGUGAUAUAUGCAAUUGUUGAGCAUUGUACACUGCUCCACAGAAUGAUAUUAAAGUAUUAAUUUUAAUACCUGUCUUGGCUUCUUAUAUCAUAUUUCCGGGAUGGAUUGCAGAAAAAUGUCAUUUUGCUGAAUUCAACUAUAUAUUAAAACCACAUGGUAAAACACAACUCCAACAAACAACAAAUUAUAUAAAGAAGUACAUUGGAAUUUUAAAAUUUUAAAUCAGGUUGAGGUAUUAUUUAGAUAGAAUAAAAUUAAAUUUGCCCUUUUCAAGACACAGUCAUUAGUUAUCACAAACCACUUCCAUAAUCAGGUUAUAAAACAUUUCCAUCACUCCCAAAAGUUUCCUCAUGCCGCUCUGUAGUCACGUUUCAAUGUCAGUAACUUUACUGUCUCCAUUCUUGCAGAGCCACAACCAGAAAGGGAGUAAACCUCUAACCCCAGAUUCAGUGGAAGUAGCUGACCUAGGUCAGGGGCCACCCCUCCAUCCAUAACCACAUGUGGAGGGGCAGAGGACCACACCUGACCCAGCUGUGGCCAAGCCUGGGUUUGUGAGGAGAUGGGGCGCCCGUCAAACCAAACCAAAGAAAGAGCAUUUCCCAGAAAAUGCUGUCUUCCCAAAGGUACAGGUUUGGAGUGCUAGGAACGUAAAAUAAUGAAUGUCUAUUCAUUAUACUAAUUUGGUAAAAAUUAAUUAACCAAAUAGUUACAAUUAUUUUUUUUAAAUAGGAAAGACUUUUAAUAUGCUAACUGUGAGAUAUCUAGUUUGCAAGGUAAUAGAUAUAUCUGAUGUAAAAGGAAAUUUAUAUGUUAUGCCCAUAUAAUUUGAAUUUAUGUUUACUGUUUAUUAAAAAAUAAGGGUAAUCUUUUGAUCAUGUUUAACUCCUCCAAAUAAGAUAGAUUUUCACUCCUGUUUCUUUACCUCAAGAAUAAAAAACAUAUGACUUUUUAAUUUUAAUUUGUUUUAAUAUUCUGAAUCUCACCUAAGUAUAUUUGUUGUUUACUGUAAUGAGUACACAGUAAAAUCAGCUUUGAUCCAAAGUCAAAGAGACUCAGGUCGCUUCAUAAGUAAAGGAGCAAUAUGUUAUGAAUUGACUUAUAGUUUUCUUGAAAGGCAAUGUGAUUUAAUUGUUCAUGAUUUCAUUUCAUUAGGUGGUUUUCUGUAUAAAGCUUGUUACAGGUGAUUGCAUCCCAAACAUCUUAAAGUAAUUGUAGACACUUGUUCUUGAAUAGCUUUUGUGAAGUAAACUGUAAACAACAUGUCUAACAGUUAAAACUUAGCCCCUGUCAUGACGGUACUGCCCUUCCUGAGGGAUGGAGCUCACGCCUGCUAUUUUUUCCCUAACUUUGGAGCACACAAUAAAGAAACAUUAAAAGUAUAAUUUGAAAAGAUACAUGCAUCCCAGUGUUCAUAGCAGCACUAUUUAUAAUAGCCAAGACCUGAAAGCAAGUGCCCAUCAACAGACAGGAAGGGGGUACAAACUAGGAGUAUAGGAUUCACAGAUACAAACUACUAUGCAUAAAAUAGAAGCACAACAAGGAUUUAUUGUAUACUAUAGAGAAUUAUACUCAAUAUCUUAUAAUAGCCUAUAAUGGAAUGUAAUCAGAAAACAAUAACUGAAUCAAUGUGCUAUACACCUGAAAGUAACACAAUAUUGUAAAUCAACUAUACUUCAAUUUAAAAAAGUGUUAUCAUUGUGAAAGAAAGUGCACAUGUAUGUUUGCAAAACCACAGAAACCUUUCACCAUUAUCCAAAUACUUGUGAGAAUGCUGUACUAGUUGUCUUAGGUUAUAUAUCUGGUGAAAUGCAUAGAGUUAUUCAAUACCAUUGAAUACCUGCUGUGUGCCAGGUAGUAUGGGAACUCAGUAGCAAAAA